CAGUAGCCGCGGUAAUACAGAGGGUGCGAGCGUUAAUCGGAUUUACUGGGCGUAAAGCGUGAGUAGGCGGCUAAUUGAGUCGGAUGUGAAAUCCCCGAGCUUAACUUGGGAAUUGCAUUCGAUACUGGUUAGCUAGAGUGUGGGAGAGGAUGGUAGAAUUCCAGGUGUAGCGGUGAAAUGCGUAGAGAUCUGGAGGAAUACCGAUGGCGAAGGCAGCCAUCUGGCCUAACACUGACGCUGAGGUACGAAAGCAUGGGGAGCAAACAGGAUUAGAUACCCCAGUAGUCCCUGUCUCUUAUAC
rnacentral:rRNA from 1 species